CGGAGGGCGAGACAAUAAAAGUAGACAAUUACGUUUGGUGGCCGGACCGGCGGCGACGGGUGAAGUAACGCGUAUCGACAACCUACUAUGAGGAGGGAACUAACCGGCAAAGUCGGACUAAUACCGCAUAAAACAGGGACACCGCAUGGUGAUAUUUGUUUAAAGAAAUUCGCUGAUAGAUGGGCAUGCGUUCCAUUAGGUAGUUGGUGAGGUAACGGCUCACCAAGCCGACGAUGGAUAGGGGAACUGAGAGGUUGGUCCCCCACACUGGUACUGAGACACGGACCAGACUCCUACGGGAGGCAGCAGUGAGGAAUAUUGGUCAAUGGGCGAGAGCCUGAACCAGCCAAGUCGCGUGAAGGAAAGAAGGAUCUAUGGUUCGUAAACUUCUUUUGCAGGGGAAUAAAGUGCAGGACGUGUCCUGUUUUGUAUGUACCCUGAGAAUAAGGAUCGGCUAACUCCGUGCCAGCAGCUGC
rnacentral:rRNA from 1 species